rnacentral:rRNA from 1 species
GUCUACGGCCAUGCUACCCUGACCAAUCCUGAUCCUUCCUGUCUGAUCUCGGAAGCUAAGCAGGGUUGGGCCUGGUUAGUACUUGGAUGGGAGACCACCUAGGAAGACCAGGUGCUGUAGGCA